rnacentral:rRNA from 1 species
UGCCAGCCGCCGCGGUAAUACGGAGGGUGCAAGCGUUGUUCGGAAUUAUUGGGCGUAAAGCGCGUGUAGGUGGAUUGGUCAGUCAGAUGUGAAAGCCCCGGGCUCAACCUGGGAACUGCACCUGAUACUGCCAGUCUUGAGUACAGUAGAGGGCAGUGGAAUUUCCUGUGUAGCGGUGAAAUGCGUAGAUAUAGGAAGGAACACCAGUGGCGAAGGCGACUGCCUGGACUGAUCGCUGACCCUGAGGGACGAAAGCUAGGGGAGCAAACAGGAUUAGAUA